rnacentral:rRNA from 1 species
AAUAGAUACCCCGGUAGUCCACGCCGUAAACGUUGGGCGCUAGAUGUGGGGACCAUUCCACGGUUUCCGCGUCGUAGCUAACGCAUUAAGCGCCCCGCCUGGGGAGUACGGCCGCAAGGCUAAAACUCAAAGGGAUUGACGGGGGCCCGCACAAGCGGCGGAGCAUGCGGAUUAAUUCGAUGCAACGCGAAGAACCUUACCAAGGCUUGACAUAUGCGAGAACGCUCUAGAAAUAGAGAACUCUUUGGACACUCGUAUACAGGUGGUGCAUGGUUGUCGUCAGCUCGUGUCGUGAGAUGUUGGGUUAAGUCCCGCAACGAGCGCAACCCUCGUCGCAUGUUGCCAGCACGUAAUGGUGGGAACUCAUGUGAGACUGCCGGGGUCAACUCGGAGGAAGGUGGGGAUGACGUCAAAUCAUCAUGCCCCUUAUGUCUUGGGCUUCACGCAUGCUACAAUGGCCGGUACAAAGAGCUGCGAAACCGCAAGGUGGAGCGAAUCCCAAAAAGCCGGUCUCAGUUCGGA